rnacentral:rRNA from 1 species
ACGGGGUGCAGCAGGCGCGAAACCUUUACAAUGCACGAAAGUGUGAUAAGGGGAUUCCGAGUGGCAUGUUUUCAUGGGCUUUUAUUAAGAGUAAAAACCUUAGUGAAUAAGUGGUGGGAAAGACUGGUGCCAGCAGCCGCGGUAACACCAGCGCCACGAGUGGCAAUCAUUAUUAUUGGGCCUAAAGCGUCCGUAGCUGGUUUAGUAAAUCUUUUGUGAAACUGUUGGGCUUAACCUAACAGCGUGCAGAAGAAACUGCUAAACUUGAAACCGGGAGGAGUCAGAAGUAUUUAGAGGGGAGCGGUAAAAUGUUUUAAUCCUCUGAAGACUACCGGUGGCGAAGGCGUCUGACUAGAACGGAUUUAACAGUGAGGGACGAAGGCCAGGGGAGCAAACCGGAUUAGAUACCCGAGUAGUCCUGGCAGUAAACGCUGUGAACUAGGUGUUGCAUAUUCUACGAGGAUGUGCAGUAUCGAAGUGAAGGUGAUAAGUUCACCGCCUGGGGAGUACGGUCGCAAGACUGAAACUUAAAGGAAUUGGCGGGGGAGCACCACAAGGGGUGCGGCGUGCGGUUUAAUCUAACUCAACACAGAGAAUCUCACCAGAGGCGACGGCAGAAUGAAAGUCAGUCUAAAGGGCUUACUUGACAAGCCGAGAGGUAGUGCAUGGCCGCCGUCAGCUCGUGCUGUAAAGUGUCCAGUUAAGUCUGGCAACGAGCGAGACCUGUAUUUACUAUUGCUA